rnacentral:tRNA from 1 species
GCCGGAAUAGCUCAGUUGGUAGAGCAGAAGACUGAAAAUCCUCGUGUCACCAGUCA